AUUGAACGCUGGCGGCAGGCUUAACACAUGCAAGUCGAGCGGAGAUGAGGUGCUUGCACCUUAUCUUAGCGGCGGACGGGUGAGUAAUGCUUAGGAAUCUGCCUAUUAGUGGGGGACAACAUUCCGAAAGGAAUGCUAAUACCGCAUACGCCCUACGGGGGAAAGCAGGGGAUCUUCGGACCUUGCGCUACUAGAUGAGCCUAAGGCGGAUUAGCUAGUUGGUGGGGUAAAGGCCUACCAAGGCGACGAUCUGUAGCGGGUCUGAGAGGAUGAUCCGCCACACUGGGACUGAGACACGGCCCAGACUCCUACGGGAGGCAGCAGUGGGGAAUAUUGGACAAUGGGCGGAAGCCUGAUCCAGCCAUGCCGCGUGUGUGAAGAAGGCCUUUUGGUUGUAAAGCACUUUAAGCGAGGAGGAGGCUACCUGGAUUAAUACUCUAGGAUAGUGGACGUUACUCGCAGAAUAAGCACCGGCUAACUCUGUGCCAGCCGCCGCAGUAACAC
rnacentral:rRNA from 1 species